UAAACAAUAUAAUAAAAACGCAACGAGAUUCAUAAAAACUUUUUUCUACUAACAUACUAUAAAUGAAGUUAGCAUAAAAUGAAACAGCUGUAUUUCCAAUUGAACCGACUUCAAAUAAGGUAUCAAAAUGUGUACAUUGUCAAGUUUGAACUUCUGAAAAGAGGCACCUAUUAACACACAAAAAACUUGGAAGAAAACUGCUAAAUGAGUGUAGCGCAUCUAACCAUUUUGCAGCUGUAGGACUCGAGGAUAGUGCUUUUAUAUAAAAUGUUUGUUUAAUUUCAACAAUGUGAACGAUUUAGAUUAAUCAAAUAAGCACUACGUUAAAAGACGCAUGUUUUAGAUCCCUUUGAGAAGCUACGGUUUCCACUAAGCGAUGCUGAGUACCAGAAACUGUCACUUGGUCUCUUGUGGGAGAUAAAAGAAAACGUUGUAAAUUGUUGUUGGCCAACUGAAGAAAAGGAUAACCAUGCAAUAAAAAUGAUGGCAACGAUGGAAGAUUUUAAUGCCUUUGAAAGAGAGUUGUUAGACGAACAGAAACGUUUAAUCUUGAAAAUCUUUACGUCAAGUCCGUGGUUUGGAUGCGAAAGACCAAGUAAUAAUGAUACUGGAAAGACUGUUUACCGUUGGACUUCUGUCCCAAUUUAAGAACGCCCCUCAUAAAAUCGGGGGUUGCGUAGGCAACGCCAAGAAACAGAGGAGAAAGCUCAAGAAACAGAGGAAAAAGAGGAAGGUGAAAAUAAUGUGGAAUUUGGAGAUGAAUCUGCUGAUGACUCUUAAUUUAUUUAACUUAAUUUAACUUAAUUCAUUUAACUCUUAAUUUAAUUAAUAUAUUCUGCUUAACAA